CCUUCUUUCCCUCAAUUCAGUCCAAAUUCAGAUACUUGGACCCCAAGCACCUCUCCUUGUUCUUCACUCUUCCUGUAUACAAAUUUCAUUUCCAUUUCAGGAAAUUCAACAUCAAAAACCAAUUUCUCUCAUUUUCAUCUUCUCUGAUUCGAGCAACCACCACCAACAACCAUCAUCUGCCACCACCAUAACCACCACAACCCAGGACCAUCAUCCCAACACCACUCGACCACCCGUCCUCCACCGCACGCACCACCCUCGCCUCCCCUAUUAUUUCCCCUCGUCGCACUCCCCUGCCCUUCGCCCCUAUCCCCGCGCAAACCAUCGUUGCAGCCACUACUCCGGCCACCUUCACCCUCUCGUGAACUGACCUCCGCCGCCUACACUCUCCGUCGAGCCACCUCAGCCCACUCCCAAGCACCACCCGCCACCAAACUCCCCUGUUUCCCUCCUCCGUUCGCACCUCCCACCCUUUCCCUCGCAUCCUGCCGCCACAAACCACCACCACCGUCGCCUUCACCGGCGUUUUCCGGUGGUACCGAGCCGUCCAGACCCCAACUCCCUUCCUUCCUCCUCUCUUUCCUCCCCUGCUCUUUUUCGUUCCCCCUCCCCUGUUUCUUGCGUUCCCUUUCCCAGAAACCCAAAACAACCAAAAUUAGAUUUUUAAAGCUUUAAUUUUAUUUUCCUCCAACCCAUAUUAAAUUGGGCCAACUAACCAUUUGGGCCUUUGAAAUUGGACUCGGAGCUCAGGACGAACGAACCAAGGAAAACAAAACCCUUAGCAAAUCGCGGAAGUGAGGUACUGCUGGGAACGAUGGAAACGAGUAGUGGCGAGGAUUUCACCCUUAAUAAUUUCCACCUAGUUUAUGUUUUUUAAUAGUUAAUUAAAGAUUUUUAGUAAGUUAUAUACUUUUACUUUGGGAAUAUAAAGGAUUAUUAUGUUAAUUUUGAAUGAUUUAAUAGCUUAUGAUUGAUAGUUGCCUUGUAAUUCCCAAGAGGGAUUUACGGCAGGUAAUGUCCCGACCGAUUAGGUUAAUUCCGCUGCUAAUUAUGCUUUAAAUAUUGAAUUAGAGGUCGGGGUGUUACAAGAGGUUUGAGGGAAAAAGAGAGGUUUGAGGUGAAUUAGAAGUUUAGCGUUUAAAAAAAACCUAAUUGAAAGUGUUUGGU